UACAGAGGGUGCGAGCGUUAAUCGGAAUUACUGGGCGUAAAGGGCGCGUAGGCGGAUAUGCAAGUGAGAUGUGAAAUACCCGGGCUCAACCUGGGAACUGCAUCUUAAACUGCGUAUCUGGAGUACUGUAGAGGAUAGUGGAAUUUCCGGUGUAGCGGUGAAAUGCGUAGAUAUCGGGAAGAACACCAACGGCGAAAGCACUCUGCUGGGCCGAAAAACUGACACUGAUAGACGAAAGCUAGGGGAGCAAAUGGG
rnacentral:rRNA from 1 species